UACGUAGGGUGCGAGCGUUGUCCGGAAUUACUGGGCGUAAAGAGCUCGUAGGUGGUUUGUCGCGUUGUUCGUGAAAACCGGGGGCUUAACCCUCGGCGUGCGGGCGAUACGGGCAGACUUGAGUACUGCAGGGGAGACUGGAAUUCCUGGUGUAGCGGUGGAAUGCGCAGAUAUCAGGAGGAACACCGGUGGCGAAGGCGGGUCUCUGGGCAGUAACUGACGCUGAGGAGCGAAAGCGUGGAGAGCGAACAGG
rnacentral:rRNA from 1 species